rnacentral:rRNA from 1 species
CAUAUCAAUAAGCGGAGGAAAAGAAACUAACAAGGAUUCCCCUAGUAACGGCGAGCGAAGCGGGAAGAGCUCAAAUUUGAAAGCUGGCGUCUUCGGCGUCCGCGUUGUAACCUCGAGACGUGUUUUCCGUGCGGCUCUAUGGACAAGUCCCUUGGAACAGGGCAUCGUAGAGGGUGAAAAUCCCGUACUUGCCAUGGAAGUACCGUGCUUUGUGAUACACGCUCCAAGAGUCGAGUAGUUUGGGAUUGCUGCUCAAAGUGGGUGGUAGACUCCAUCUAAAGCUAAAUAUCGGGGAGAGACCGAUAGCGAACAAGUACCGUGAGGGAAAGAUGAAAAGCACUUUGGAAAGAGAGUUAAAAGUACGUGAAAUUGUCGAAAGGGAAGCACUUGAAGUCAGCCAUGCUGCUUGAGACUCAGCCUGGCUUUUGCUUGGUGUAUUUCUCGGUAGCAAGCCAGCAUUGGUUUGUGUCGUCGGAGAAGCGCAUGGGGAAUGUGGCAUCCUCGGAUGUGUUAUAGCCCUGUGCAGGAUACGACGACGUAGACCAAGGAACGCAGUGUGCCCUCUGGGCGGGUCUUCGGACACCUUCACACUUAGGAUGCUGGCGUAAUGGCUUUAAGUGGCCCGUCUUGAAACACGGACC